rnacentral:lncRNA from 1 species
CCAGAAGGUGGAAUGAGCCAUGGGGGGACCCCAGAAUGUGGAAGGAGCCAUUGGGGACCCCACAAAGGUUUGGGGUGCACGGCUGACCCCCAUCCCCUCGGCAGGGGCGGCCGUGGGGACCGCACGGGGCGUUACGGGGGUGCCCCACCCCUCUCCGAGGACGGCUCCCGCAGCCAGCGCGACCACGACUAUCGCGACAUGGACUAUCGCGGCUACGGGGGACCCCCGGAGGGGCCCCCCGCUGCCGGGACCCCCCCUCAGUGACCCAAUGACCCAACACCCGUGCGCUGCACUGCAGCAUUUUUUACCCAAUCACUUAAAACCACCCAAAAACCCCCAGGAGAAGAACAGGAAAAAGAAAGAAAGACAAGAAACAACACCCUAAAUAAAUCCUCUAUCUUGUCUCCUGCUCUCUAAACUACUUUUUCACCCAGUGAUUUAAGGAAGUUUUUAAUCUGCACACUUUGACUUUUCC